rnacentral:rRNA from 1 species
AGCCUACGGGAGGCAGCAGUGGGGAAUAUUGCACAAUGGGGGAAACCCUGAUGCAGCGACGCCGCGUGAGCGAAGAAGUAUUUCGGUAUGUAAAGCUCUAUCAGCAGGGAAGAAAAUGACGGUACCUGACUAAGAAGCCCCGGCUAACUACGUGCCAGCAGCCGCGGUAAUACGUAGGGGGCAAGCGUUAUCCGGAUUUACUGGGUGUAAAGGGAGCGUAGACGGCAGCGCAAGUCUGGAGUGAAAUGCCGG